rnacentral:sRNA from 1 species
UAAUAAAAUCAUCCUUGAAAGUUAAAAAUAGGAAUAGGCCAUGGAAAUGCUGACAGUGGACAAAGGGCCCCCUAGGCAGAAGCAUUGGCCACCACCGAUCACCAUCCCACCCCUGUCCUCUGGGCACCAAGGGGUCCCGUUACCAACUCUGCAUGUCAUGGGGCUGCUCCACUUACCUGGAUACCAUGUUCAUCCAGUCGGGGAAACUAACACCAGCCAGGCCUGUGCGUGCCGGCCCUCCCCACAGCAGGGAGCCUUUGCUGGCCGGGAACAUGCUGGGCACCCACAACAGGCACCCGGGCUGCCAGUAGGGGCCCCUCCCAGGAAGCUGCAGGUGUGGCUGGUGAGUUACGGAAAGCCAGGCCAGCAGGUCCAGGCGGGACACCUUGCAGAAGCAGGCACAGGGUCUACACGGACGUGCAGCAGGUGGCCAGCAGCCUCACCCACCCGCGCUUCACCCUCACCCAGAGUGAGGCGGACGCCGACAUCCUCUUCAACUUCUCACACUUCAAGGACUACAGGAAGCUCAGCCAGGAGAGGCCGGGCGUGCUGCUGAACCAGUUCCCCUGCGAGAACCUGCUGACCGUCAAGGACUGCCUGGCCUCCAUCGCGCGCCGGGCGGGCGGCCCCGA